GUGUCAGCAGCCGCGGUAAGACGAACCGCCCAAACGUUAUUCGGAAUCACUGGGCUUAAAGGGUGCGUAGGCGGCGCUGUUAGUCGGGUGUGAAAUCCCUCGGCUUAACCGAGGAAUUGCGCCCGAUACUGCAGUGCUUGAGGGAGACAGAGGUGAGCGGAACUGAUGGUGGAGCGGUGAAAUGCGUUGAUAUCAUCAGGAACACCGGUGGCGAAAGCGGCUCACUGGGUCUCUUCUGACGCUGAUGCACGAAAGCUAGGGGAGCGAACGGGAUUAGAUACCCCGGUAGUCCUAGCUGUAAACGAUGAGCACUGGGUCGGAGAGUCUUCCAUAACUUUCCGGCCGAAGCGAAAGCGUUAAGUGCUCCGCCUGGGGAGUAUGGUCGCAAGGCUGAAACUUAAAUGAAUUGGCGGGG
rnacentral:rRNA from 1 species